CAGUAGCCGCGGUAAUACGAACCGUGCGAACGUUAUUCGGAAUCACUGGGCUUAAAGCGCGUGUAGGCGGUCCGGCACGUCGAAUGUCGAAAUCCCCCGGCUCAACCGGGGAAGUGGCAUCGAUACGACCGAACUGGAGGGGGGUAGGGGGAGCCGGAACUUCCGGUGUAGCGGUGAAAUGCGUAGAUAUAUGGAGGAACACCGGUGGCGAAAGCGGCUCUCUGGCCUGUAACUGACGCUGAGGCUCGAAAGCGUGGGGAGCGAACAGGAUUAGAUACCCCCGUAGUCCCUGUCUCUUAUA
rnacentral:rRNA from 1 species